GUGAUGUUGCUAGGUACGCGUCCUGCGUCCCUGACGCAUUCAAAUCUGAAAGGACGCACUAAACUCACUAUCCAUGCGUCCCGGGGACGCAUCUCAUUUUCCCCAUGAAAAACGAUAAAUUGUGAACAUUAAAAAACUCGUGUUUAAUCACAGUAACUGGCCAAAGAAACCUUCUUGUGAGCAGACCGGACAAGCGCUGUUUCAACCCUCUGCGCAUCUACUCGGCGCAGACGUGAUCCCCUGUACAAAGUAUCGCGACAUGCUAAUUUAGCCGCUACCAAAACAACUAGCUCGUCACCGCUGAUUUCAUUUCAACAAUUACAAAUACGAACUUCAUAGUAAAUAAACCCACGUUUCCACUGCUCGAUGCUGUGCUCAUUCGUGUCGAUUAUGUUGUAACGUUUAGGGGACGUGCUGUAAUGAAAUAAAUGAAACAUAAUCCGGUGGUGGUGAUGAAAACUACAUUGAACGGCAGCCGCCAUAUUGUUAUGCCCAAACGGCGCCUGAGAUCCCGUUUUUCUCGAGAAACAGGCAGAGAAGAGAGAACGCAAAAAUGCCACCAAAGAAAAAGAUGAAACCUAUUGCAGGUCAGCAAACUAUUGCAGCUGCAUUUUCUGUCCCCACUACCUCUGCACUCCUCCCUGACUCUGAUCAGCCUAGAGAGAGUACCUCAACAUUGCCUGUACCUACUUCUGCCUCCCCCUCUACUGAGCCUGAUGAGCCCACUGCAGAAGAAGUGCCUCAACCUUCUACAUGUUCCUCCCAAAAAAAGCGAACUUUUCUGAAGCAGUGGCUCACCACAUACAAAUGGCUGCGCUUUUCAGGUGACAAUUUCAUGUAUUGAGUUUAACACUAUUAAUUUAAUUUAAGAAAUAGAAUAAUAAUAAAAAAGAAACACAUUUUUUAAACUGGGGAGUCGGGACCCAUUGAAUUUCUCAGGGACCCACCCAACUCGCCACCUGUGGGUCCCGGGGACUCACUACAUUGAAAACCUAUCAA